GAAGCAGUGAUAGAGUUGUAGCCCCGCAUCGUGCACCAAAAAAUGUUGAUUGAAAUAAUAUUUAUUGAUUAUCGUAAAACGUAGAAUAAGGAUGGUACAUGGAGUAUCGAUCGGCCUUCGGGAAUUGCGAACACGAAAACAGAAAUUGGGAAGAAGUGGAUAUAUUUGCAUGCUAAGUGACACAAAGCAUCAUAAAGUUAGUUAGAACCAUUUUUCAUUUGGCCCUCACAUGCCAUCGUUGAUAAAAAAAAAAGGAAAAAAUGAAAAACCCGAAAGAGCCCGCGAAAUUAUGGGAGAAGAAGUCGACAUUGCUUCCAAUUUUGAUUCCCUCAUUACAUACUUUCUUCUUCAAGCACAAUUAAGGAGGGGAACCAAUCCCAGGCAGUCUCCCACAACUGUAUCAACGUUAUGGAUCUAACUAAACCACUCCGCUGCAUCGUAAAACUCGGGGGUGCGGCUAUUACUUGCAAGAAUGAAUUGGAGACGAUACACGAAGAAAAUUUGGCUACGGUUUCCUCACAUUUGAGGAAAACUAUGGUUAGUGGGUCUUCUUCUGAAAGUACUAUUGGAAUGGAUUGGAGCAAGCAGCCUGAAAAAUCCGGCAUUGAACGUACUGCCGAUGAUUUCAGAGAACAUGAAGUUGGCCUUGCAAGCCCCUUUAUAGUUGUUCAUGGAGCUGGUUCUUUUGGGCAUUUUCAAGCAAGUAAAUCGGGGGUUCAUAAAGGAGGACUUGAUAGAUCCUUAGUCAAAGCUGGAUUUGUUGCCACACGUAUAUCCGUUACUUCACUCAAUCUUAAAAUUGUUAGAGCACUUGCGAGAGAGGGUAUUCCAUCGGUUGGAAUGUCACCAUUUUCAUGUGGAUGGUCCACUUGUGAAAGAAAUAUGGAUGCAGUUGAUUUACAAGGGGUUUCUAAAGCCAUUAACUCUGGAUUUGUUCCUGUUCUGCAUGGAGAUGCCGUCUUUGACAAUUCCCUGGGGUGCACCAUAUUAAGUGGAGAUGUAAUUAUACGACAUCUUGCAGGGCAACUGAAGCCUGACUAUGUUGUGUUCCUUACGGAUGUUUUAGGUGUAUAUGAUCGUCCUCCAACAGAACCUAAUGCAGUCCUUUUAAGAGAGAUUGCUGUGGGUGAAGAUGGUCGUUGGUCUGUUAUACAACCUGUUCUGCACAAUGGUAACACAGAAGUUGAGAUAAGUGUAGCCGCCCAUGAUACAACUGGGGGAAUGGUGACUAAGAUAUCAGAAGCAGCAAUGAUUGCAAAGCUUGGCAUUGAAGUCUACAUUGUAAAGUAUUAUGUGCUGCUUGCUGCAGGCAGCCACUGUCCACUCCUUGAGAGCUCUAAACGGGGAAAUUCGAGGCAAGAUUCCAGAUGACUGGCUUGGGACAGCCAUUCGGUUUUCCGGAUAAGACCUCAAUCAGGUGCUUUCAGUGAAAUAUCUUAAUUUAUGAUCAACUCCCUCAAUUACUGCGGAAUAUUACAACUUGAUCCAAGUAUCCAGCUUUAUGACUGUUGGAAAGCGAUGAUUGGAAUUUACUAGUGCCAGUUUGUGAAAUUAGACUCAACCAGAAUCGUCUUACUUUGAUGCUAACUAGUAUUUGCCUGUUGCUUUUUAAAUUUUGUACACUUAUUUUUCCUCGGAAACAGAACUGAAGUAAGCCAUGUUGUACUAAGUGCAACGUACUUUGACACUGCCAAAGCAAUUCAAUGGACAUCAUAAGUUAUUAUGAAUGCAUAUUGCUAUUUAGACUGAGCCUCAA